rnacentral:lncRNA from 1 species
AAACUACUUGUUGAUUUGAAAGGCGUUUAUUUCUGCAUUCCGUAUCUUCAUUUUCUUUUCGACUGACAAAUCAGCAGAGAAGUUUACUGAUGGCCACAUACCACAGGAACAAGAAUGGUUUUGAUUUCUGCUGUGCAGCAGCACAGGCUGAUUGUGAGACAGCAGCGUGAUGUAGCCACAAAUAUAUCCGGAGACAUUUCUGGAGGCGUAGCUGAUCUGCUGAUAUUUCUGUUAUUCAUGGCUGAAUUACCUCACCUGCAGUGGAUGGGGUCACGCUGCUGGUGAUACCUGGGUUAGCACUGCACAGAUCCAGCUCACUGUCAGGAUCUGUCUGCCAGGGCCUUGCAUCGCCUGGGCUUGGCUGUGUGGCUGCUGCGUCAGUGUGAAAUCAGUUUCUCAUUGCUAUGUUCCUGACAGAAUAACAGCAGAAAGGUCGCACAUUUCUGAUUUGCUCACAGUCAGGGGAUGCAGAGAAUGCUUGUCAUGGAUAUUGAAGAAUGGAAGGAUAAUAAAUAGUAGCCAUUUAUUUAGUUGUCCCAUUGUAAUGUCUUUCAUGUGGGCUUAUGUAUGUUAGUAGUUUACAAAUGACUUUAACACAUUUAUUCUUUUGAGAUUAAAUUUAAUAGUGAG